AAAAGAAAUAAACAAAAAGGAAAAAAGGAAAAAAAGAAAAGUCAAAAAAGAAGAAGAGUUUUGUUU
rnacentral:ribozyme from 13 species